GAUGAACGCUGACAGAAUGCUUAACACAUGCAAGUCUACUUGAACUUCGGUUUGGGUGGCGGACGGGUGAGUAACGCGUAAAGAACUUGCCUCACAGAUAGGGACAACAUUUGGAAACGAAUGCUAAUACCUGAUAUUAUGAUUUUAGGGCAUCCUAGAAUUAUGAAAGCUAUAUGCACUGUGAGAGAGCUUUGCGUCCCAUUAGCUAGUUGGAGAGGUAACGGCUCACCAAGGCGAUGAUGGGUAGCCGGCCUGAGAGGGUGAUCGGCCACAAGGGGAAUGAGAACCGGCCCUUACUCCUCCGGGAGGCAGCAGUGGGGAAUAUUGGACAAUGGACCAAGAGUUUGAUCCAGCAAUUCGGUGGGCACGAUGAAGUUUUUCGGAAUGAAAAGUGCUUUCAGUUGGGAAGAAAAAAAUGACGGUCCCAACAGAAGAAGGGACGGCUAAAUACGU
rnacentral:rRNA from 1 species